rnacentral:rRNA from 2 species
ACGGAGGAUCCGAGCGUUAUCCGGAUUUAUUGGGUUUAAAGGGAGCGUAGAUGGGUUGUUAAGUCAGUUGUGAAAGUUUGCGGCUCAACCGUAAAAUUGCAAUUGAUACUGGCAGUCUUGAGUACAGUUGAGGUAGGCGGAAUUCGUGGUGUAGCGGUGAAAUGCUUAGAUAUCACGAAGAACUCCGAUUGCGAAGGCAGCUUACUAACCUGUAACUGACAUUGAUGCUCGAAAGUGUGGGUAUCAAACAG